ensembl:lncRNA
CUAAAAGGGACCUUAAGAGGAAUCAAAAGUCCAACACUUAUUUUCACAGAUGUUGCCCAGUAACUUAGCAUGGAAGUGUCUGAGGGAGGAUUUGAAAACUGGUCUCCUUGACUCUCCUUGACAAGUCCAGAGCUCUAUCUGCUACACCGUACUGCCCUGAAUACUGCUAGCUACUCCCUGUGCUGCCUUCAUUCAGUCACUCACAUCCGCCCCCUGGUGAUCCCAUGAUCCCAUGGACCACAGCACCACUGGUGUUAGCUAUAAGGUGUGCCCAUUACUCUGAGCCGUAAUACCUGGUGAAGGCUGAUGCUGCCGUAAAUUUCCUCCCAGAUUCCAUCACAAGUGUCCUGGUCCGAACCCUGGGGCUUUACACAGGAAAGAAGGGCUGAAGCUGGCUCCAGGACUGCUGCCGCAUGAGCCUGCAGAGCCUCCAUCACUCGCAGCGGGUUGGAAACCUCAGUGGCAAUACAGAAGAGGACAAAUAAUCAGGAAAAGCAUCAUGCAUUUUCUCAAUAGUGUGAUGGGAGAUGUUUCAAGCUCUUUUAAUAGGAUUUGUUUUCUUCACAUAAGCACUGAUGAUCACUGUCUGUUGAUGGAUAAGAACAUAUCUGAUUAUCUAUAUUUUACACAUAAGGGAAGGAGAACAGGAUGAACAUUUAUAUAAUGUCUACUAUGUGCUAG